rnacentral:rRNA from 1 species
AUUGAACGCUGGCGGCAUGCCUUACACAUGCAAGUCGAACGGUAACGGGCCUUCGGGUGCCGACGAGUGGCGAACGGGUGAGUAAUGCAUCGGAACGUACCUUUCAGUGGGGGAUAACGUAGCGAAAGUUACGCUAAUACCGCAUAUUCUGUGAGCAGGAAAGCAGGGGAUCGCAAGACCUUGCGCUGAUUGAGCGGCCGAUGUCAGAUUAGCUAGUUGGUGAGGUAAAGGCUCACCAAGGCGACGAUCUGUAGCGGGUCUGAGAGGAUGAUCCGCCACACUGGAACUGAGACACGGUCCAGACUCCUACGGGAGGCAGCAGUGGGGAAUUUUGGACAAAUGGGGGCAACCCUGAUCCAGCCAUGCCGCGUGAGUGAAGAAGGCCUCGGUUGUAAG